GGUCCCACCUGACCCCAUGCCGAACUCAGAAGUGAAACGUCGUAGCGCCGAUGGUAGUGUGGGGUCUCCCCAUGUGAGAGUAGGGAAUCGCCAGGC
rnacentral:rRNA from 3 species